GGAUGGAUGAUACAGUAUGUGGGGAAUGGGAGAGAUGUCUGGAUGGAUGAUACAGUAGGUGGGGAAUGGGAGAGAUGGAUGGAUGAUACAGUAUGUGGGGAAUGGGAGCGAUAUGAUAUGGCGCUCUCUACUGGAGGUUUUGAGAAUUACAGACAUUUGUAUUUUGCUGCUUCCAACUCUCCCUGGGUGAAUAAUACUGAAUGGUGCUUUUAGCCACAUAUGCUUUUGUACAAGGAUAAUAAUGGGUUAUACUUUAGUAUCUCUAAAAGGUUAUGUGAUUAACUGGAUAAUAAUGAGUUAUACUUUAGUAUCUCUAAAAGGUUAUGUGAUUAACUGGAUAAUAAUGGGUUAUACUUUAGUAUCUCUAAAAGGUUAUGUGAUUAACUGUUUGAACUCAAUGAAGGGUUGCACAUUUUUGGUAACUUUCACAAAAUGUUCCUGAAAUCCCGGUUGGAAGUUUCCUGGAAUCAGGAGGGAAUUAACAGAGAAUCUGGGAAUCAUCCAACCAGGAUUUCUGGAAAACCUGGGAAUUUUGCAACCCUAAACUCAAGCUACUUUGGAGUUGAUAUUUAUUGGAUUAGGUGGAUCAUGUACGAGUGCUAUUCUACUUCAUAUUUAUUAGGUGGAUCAUGUACGAGUGCUAUUCUACUUCAUAUUUAUUAGGUGGAUCAUGUACGAGUGCUAUUCUACUUCAUAUUUAUUAGGUGGAUCAUGUACGAGUGCUAUUCUACUUCAUAUUUAUUAGGUGGAUCAUGUACGAGUGCUAUUCUACUUCAUAUUUAUUAGGUGGAUCAUGUACGAGUGCUAUUCUACUUCAUAUUUAUUAGGUGGAUCAUGUACGAGUGCUAUUCUACUUCAUAUUUAUUAGGUGGAUCAUGUACGAGUGCUAUUCUACUUCAUAUUUAUUAGGUGGAUCAUGUACGAGUGCUAUUCUACUUCAUAUUUAUUAGGUGGAUCAUGUACGAGUGCUAUUCUACUUCAUAUUUAUUAGGUGGAUCAUGUACGAGUGCUAUUCUACUUCAUAUUUAUUAGGUGGAUCAUGUACGAGUGCUAUUAUGACAGGAAAGUGAUUCUUUGGAAAUUGUCGAUAUAUUUAGCUCUUUUUAUGGUGCUGAUUGCAUGUCUGUAGUACAUUAUAAUUGUGUUGACUAA